GAGAAGAAUGGUCUGCUGUGGAGAAGAGACGGCCGGCCGCCGCCGAGGAGAAGAAACCUGCCGUUCAAGGAGAAAAAAGGGCCGCUGUCCGCCGUGGAGAAGAAACGGCAGUCGUCCGCCAUAGAGAAGAAAUGUCCGGCCGCGGCCGGGGAGAAGUCGCCGUCGUGGCCAGCCUCCGCCGAUCCCUCGGCAGUAGGCUGCAGCUUGGUCGCAGCCUCGGAACUGGUGCCGCCGGACGGAGAGCCGCCGCGUCGUCGCGCCUCUCCUUCUCGACCUAGCACACCGGCGGCGGCGUGUCGGACACGUACAACAGGUUGCCCCUGCAGUGGCGCGGCAGGAAGCUGCGGCCGGUCAUCUUGGAGAAGCGAGACACCUUGGCGAGGUGGCCCGGCAUGGGCGCCGCAGCAGAAGGAGAGCAGAUGGUCAGCGCCAGCCACCCGCCGCCAAUGCGGCCCGGGGGCGGCCCGACGCCGCCCACUGCAGCCGCCGUGAGCGCCGCCACCAUUCGCGGCGCACGAGACGCAAAUUUCGUGCACACGCUCUACGGCGCGGAGAGCGGCUGGCCCUGGCCGCGGUGCCAGGUGAAUCUUUUCCCCAAACAUUGCUCCUAUUCUCUCUGCUAGCUACCUGAUGUGAUUUUUGAACAUGAUGUGUGCAGGUCUGAGGAAGAAGAGAAGAAGUAUCAAGACACCAAGGAUCUGAAGGCAGCGAGAAUUAAUGAAAAGAAAACUACUGUUCCAGCUCAUUAGCUCUACAACUACUGAUUAAGCAUCUCCAGAUUCAAGAGGAUAGGUAUGGCUUGAUUGUCAUUGUCUGCUUUCUUUGUGCCCCUCCCCUCUUACAGAGAUAUGUGUUCUUGAAUUUGUAGUACCCAUGUCUAUGUGAGUUAGUUCUGAAGUCAAAAACUAAUUCUUUUGUGCACCCAUGAGCUACUUAUAAGGUGAUAUAGGAUUCUUCUUACAAUUGUAUUAACUUUCCGCUAUUACUGUCCUCCUAUUUUAAUUUGCUCCGCAACUGCUCUUUAUUUUGUCCUAUUAUACAAAUUUGUGUAACAACAUCCUUUCAUGCAUGUCCUAAUAUAAUCCACCACUUUUUAUGGAACUCUUUCUGGAUUCAAUGCUGUUCUGGCGUAUCAGCAAAUUACCCAUCUAAGAAAGCUUCUUUUGCUAAUGUCUGAAAUUAGAAUGAUACUUCUAAUUUCCUACCGUGUAGGGCUUUGAAGGUAUCAUUUUGUGCUAUUGAUGAUAAUCCACUGCAUUACAAUGAAUCUGUGUUGUAGAAGAUUUAGCUGAUCUGGUUAUGUACAUUUCGAACAAGGAUUUGAAGAGGUUGCACAUGUUCUGUUUCAGGAAUCAAUCAAAAUACUUUGUAGAGCACUUGUUAUGUCUUGACAAAAAGAACAUUCGCAUUUCAGUUUGGUUGACUAGCUUCUUUAGGAGGCUCUGAAGGGAAGGCAAUAGACCUUGAUGAUACUAAAUUUCAUCAUUACGCCAUCAAGUAUGUUACAACAGAACUUGAGCAUAUCCAUUGUCCACUCUGCUAUAAGUUGUGUGCUAGGCUAGAUCGUAUAUUUUUUGGGUGGUGUUCUGAACUUCUGUUGGAUAUGGUGGUUGACUGCAUCAUUGAGGCAGAGGUGAUUAAGUGGUCUCCUGAUAGUAUAAAGAUUUGUUAGUAACCUAUCAAAAAUAUGUCAGUACCUGUUUAUGCCCUGAAAUUGGGGCAAAUAACUGAGUUUUGUUGUCAAAGAGUUUUGCAGAGUUACAAUCUAUAAGGGAUUCAACACAUGGUUUCAGUGAUCCAUGUUGUGUACAGUAAUUACUUGAUGAGUAAUGUAAUUGUUGUGUAGUAGUACAAUCAGACUAUUAGAUAUUGCCAGCAUUUUCUUGCCAUUUGGCGGUUCAAAGAAUUGAUAUUAGGGUAGUAGGUGAUAAUAAGACUUUUCAAUAAUCUACAAGUUAAAUAUGUAUUUAAUAAAGGGUCAUUGGUGUAGAGGAUGGGGCUUCCCCAUUUUUUUUAAUAUGUGAUUAUGCAUAAGAAAAAUUCAUCGGUCUAUUUUUUUGUUGUAAUUCGGCUGAAUGAUUCUUCCAAGAAAGAUGAGAUGGAAAAGAAGCAUCAUGGACUAACCUAGAGAAUCGAUUGUACAAUUUGUUCUCUGCUU